AGCACAGCUUUGGGGUCCCGCUCUGUCCCAUUCUGUCCUUUCUGAUGGAUUCUCACUGCACCUCUGGGUCCUCAGCUGAUAAACUGCAGAACUUGGAUGUAAAGUUCUGGCAAACAGACAAAAUAAACAGGUCUGCCCUGGGGCGACCCAAAUCCAGAGUACAGAGUGGCUCUGCACCAUCCCUACACAGUGUUUGCUGUCAUGAAAUGUGAAGAUUUAUUGGAUGUGUCCAAUGUACUAUUAUUGGUGAUUCCAUUAGCUGGCAUAUAUGUUCUGUUACUUCAUUGGGUAGAAAUGUAGAAAUGUCUUUCUACACUGAUAAUUGCAAACGAUUAUACAGUAAUAAGCAAUUAAGUAAGCAAUCUAUAAUAGUGCACGUUAAUUUGUACUAAUUGAUGCACUUGCCUCACAUAUCCACAAAGAUUUAUUAUUAAAUCUAAGAUUCCCUUCUGUAUUAUUUAUUGCCACUACAUUAAUUUGAAAAUAUAGAAACUGAGGAAAAAUAUUUGAAACAGAAACUUUGCAAAGGUUUUCAAAUACUUAUGUAGGAAUAAAACUAUUUUAAUUGGAAAAUAUUCUCUUUAAAGUUGGGAAUAUUCACGUUUGUAUGUCAAGCAUUACAAUUUCAGAACUAUUGCUCCUCUUCUUACAACUACUGAAAUAAAUAAUCCUAGCCUUCCUUAACCUGAUAAUUAUGAAGAUUUAGUGGUUUAUCUUUCACUAAAUCCUUAUUACUUAUCUCCCAUAUAAUCAUUUUAUUUCCCAGAACUGCCCUUCUUGGUUAAUAAAACUGAGGUUAUUAUCUUUAUGAUUCUCACAUUAUUUUAAGCAGUACCUCUACUGUCAUUAACUCUUUCACUCACCUUUAGUAAAUAUAUUGUUUUUAAAAAAACUUCUGUAGACAUUUCAUAAUCUUUUCAGGUUUUAUUGAAAAUGUCUCAGAGCUUUUUUUUAUUUAAAUUUUAAUCUUUAGGUAUUAAAAAUAUGUCAAUCUUCAUUUGUUUUAUGUUGAAAGGGUGUGAAACGUUGAUCUGUGUUUUCCACUUUUUAAAUCUGUCAGCUUUUAUUUUAAGGGUGUUAAACAGCUGCCAGUCGUAUCUAAACUAUUUUAUGGGAUGACCUAAACCAAUGUAAUUGCUCAAAUGUCUUUCCAGGAUAUUCUCAAUAUCUGUGUUUCAGUUGAGUUGAAGGUUACAGAAGGGAAAACUGCUUUAUAUUUUUCUUUACAAGUAUCCAUUGUCCCCCUUUUUUGAUCCUCAUAAAUCUUUCUAAUUUAAUUUUGAUGAAGUUUAGGGUUCAGAAGAAAACAAUAAGAAUUUAUUGUCCUUUCACUGAAUAUUACAGUCCAGGUUAUAAACGCUGUAGGUUAUCAUGGCUGCAAUGGUGAAUUAAAAAAUACAGGCAACGGCUAAAAUAACUUGGAAAUUAUUAACAGAUUACUUGAAUAGACAAAGAAACAAAGAAAAUGAACCAUUUGAAGUAUCUUGUUAACUUUUGAUUUUUUUCCCUUUAAGAAAAUUUAGCAUUCAAUUAAAACAUCUUCAUGAAGACGGCUUCCAAUUCAUUCUGUUUCAAUAAGUCAAAUAACCUUUUUUCACAGGGGAAAAAUCAAGAAAUUUUUCAAGUUCACUUUUUUUUUUUUAAGAAAUAUUUUCUUGCCAUCACUUCAAGACUAAGAAAGGAAACUUCAUAAUCUCUCUCAUUAAACUUCAUAUUCUCUAUUUCAUGGUGCAGAGUAGUCAUGGCUGCAUCAAAUAGGCAAGCAAGUUCUUGGCUAGUGCAAAAUAGAUGAGCAAGCACUGAAAACAGCUUUUCCUUCAAGUUACAGCUGGUUUAAUGUUUCAAAAUUUCUCCACAUAAAGCAAAAGAAGGCUUGCAUUGAUUUUGAAUACUCAAAGCUGGGGUUAAAAGUAAGCCACUAGAAAAGUUUGGAUCUGGGAGUCUCAGCAGCCUCCAUUUCCAUGAAUAAUGUCCCUGGUGAUAGCAAAUAACAAUAUUUUAAGCAGAAAGCUGCAAUAUUUGACAUUGCCUAUCUACACAGACAUAAUCAUCUGAAAUAAUUCUGCAGGCAAUCUGGGAAAUGCCACCACACUAAAGGUUAAUUAAGCAGUAAGACAUGACAAAUCAUGACACAGUGCAAAUCUGUACAUACCUCAGGAAGACAAUGAGACAGAAGGUAAAGCAAAAUUACUCUGGUGCACCAGAGCUAUUUAUUUAUGAGAAUUAAUGCCUGUAUAUUUUUUUUAUUAUUUUUUUAAUUUUGAGAAAAGGCUUUCAAUUAUCCACCUGAGGUAUGUAAGUACAUAGGUAAAAGGAUGGAGGAAAAUUUGAGCAAACAUCUUAAGAGGGUUAGACUACAAUUCUGAAAUGAUACCACCAUGAACUAUAGAAGCAACAGGAUUUUGGGCAAAAGGACAACAUAUCAGAGUGCAGAAAUGCUUCAGAUGGUGGAAAAUCUACUACAAAUUAAUGACAAAUUGCACUGGUUUUCCUUUCUCUUAAAGCACAGGAAGAUACCCUGUGCCCUUACAGCUAAAAUCAAAUGCAGAAGCAUCCACUGGAGUAACACUGGCCCAAGUGCUGGCCCAUGGCACAGAAAUAUUGUCAGAUAUUUCUGCAGUAGGAAUGAAAACCUCAAACCAGUUUCCCAGUUUCAGACUGCAAAUGAAAUUUUCAAGCACUCAAUCGCUUGUGACAUAAUGAUUUGAUUUUUUUCUUAAUAGAGAUUUUGAUUGCAACGCCAUUCUCCACCUCUAAACAACCUCAUGUGAUGUUUUAAUUUUAAUUAAAAGGCACUCAAUUACAAUCAUAAUCCACCACCCAAGGUUUCCUGCUAAGAAGAAAGAAUUUGUCAGUCAGAAAGAGCAGGCUAAACCAGAAAUCCUGUGGUGAAGCUGGUACAGCAAAACUUAGCCAGAUGCAGUUAUUUUAAAUGACUCUAAAUUAUUUCAAUUUGUUUAUAACUAAUUUAAAACUCAUUCUCAGUGGUAAUUGCAUUUUAUAUGAUUAUACCACAGCAAAUUAGUAUGUAUUAAAUCUCUCUCAAUUCCAAAACAGCUGAGCUGUUGUUUGAUCACUACUGUAAGGAUGUGUCGAAAGGAAUUUGUUCUUUAAAGCUGUGAAAAAAGAGAGAACCAAAGUGUCUUCGGAAGGAUGGGCAAGUGAUGAAAACAAAAGACUGAGUCAUGUUUUACGCUGUCCUCUUGUCUGAAGAAUAUUUGAACCACUUCUGCUGGAAAAGGAGCCUUGUUUGCAGCCUGUGUCAUGUUGGGAGAGAAAAAGUAAAUUUGAUCACAGGACCAGCCCCUGUGACAGGUGGGUGCCAUUGCCAUUCUUGCCCAUCAGAACAGAACUUGGCUCAUGCACAAGAGAUAAAUUAAAGGGCCAAGCCACAUCAACUGAACAAACAGCUUUGGAGGGCUGAUUUUCUGAGCUGAGCUUUCAGAAUUCCUGAGAAUUCCAGAGCAGGACAGACUGAGAUUAGAAGGCAUUGUUACACAUAGGGUACCUUCAGCCACCAGCCAGGGAAGGAUAUCACCUCUUACAGCCAUGGAAUAUUAUCCUAAUUUUAGGAAAGAAAGAUGGAAAAUUAGAGAAAUCAAUCACUUGUCUGAAUCAGACAGAAAAUCUAUGAAUGGCAGAGGACUGAAGCUGUAUUUCUGGGAUUAUAAGAACAUCUUUUAUAUUUAUCUAGUGGGCCUACACUGAGGUUUUAUAUGAGGCUAUGAGAAGCUGACACACACUUUCUUGGAUGUUGAGUCUAAAUCUUCUCUGGAGACCACAAACAUCAAAACCUCAUUAGCUACGUCUUGCAUUUAGAAAUUAAAAAAUAAAAAAUACAAAUUUAAAAAUAAUAAUUAACAGACUUUGUAAAAGUCAGCUGGCAGAAGCAUACUGUACGGUAAUUAAAAUUGACUUUAUUUCUGCCUUGUCAGGUUUCAAAAUUAAUUGCCUGUCCAAAGGUGUCUGCUAGACAGCUAUUGUGUUAUGGAGAUCGAUUUAAGAAUAGCCACUAUCUGAAAAGGGAGACAGCUUAACAUACAGCACUUCAAUACAUGCCAAAACUAAAAUCAGAGAGAUUUAUGGUUUUAUUUUUAAAGCAUUGCAAAGUUUUCACUGUUGGGUCUCCUAGGAGUGAUUUCCUGCAGUAAAGAGGCCCCACAACCUGGUUAUCUGCACCAUGGGAUUGAUGAGAACACACUGUGGUUCCUACUCUUCCUUUCAGGAAAACUUUGAAAAUCCCAGCGUCAUCUGAUUGGCUGCAAGAGAUGCUUCUCAUCUCUUUCAGUUGUAAUUUACAUUAAUGUAAAUAGUAUAUGCAGUAUUUUCACAAUAAUCCUAAGAACAGAGGCAUAUACAACUGUUCUGAGCAGCAGAUGUAGAGAUCUCAGUUUUACUGGACAACUUUUGUCUGUUUCCAAGUUUCCCAGAGUCCUGGAAUAUAACAAAACCAAGGGAAAAAAAAUAAAAAGGACAUCAGGGUAGAAAAAGCCUAAUAUGUUGUGAAAACAGCAAAUGAAGUAGAAAUUCAAGGGUGUAAGUGCUGCUCUUGAUCUAAGAUCUCUGUGACUGGGAAGGUGAACAAAACAGAGAAUGGAAAACUGGUGAGAAUUUAUCAAGGGAAACCUUGCUUAAGAGGCUUGAUGAAAAUCACUGGAGAAUAAUGAAAGCUGACAGCAGUCACACUGAGGAGUUUGCUUAAAUUUCAGGAAGGCUCCCCUAAAAGAAUGUUAGACGUGGUUAACAAGUGCUGGGUGGCUUGUGACAUGCAAAAGGGGUAGAGAGGGAAAAAAAAACAAGAAAUGAUAAAGGAAAAAAAGGAGAAAGGAAAAUGUGUUAAAAUUUGAAUAAUUCUGUUAUUCAGUGACAGAAGUGAUAAUCUCUGAGACACACUAAAUGAGGGACUCCCUUUUGCAUCUUUUUUUCAAAAGGUGUGACUUUGCAAGAGCAUGUAACAGGUUUCUUCUAAAGCACAAGUCCCCAGACAGCUCAAAAAUAUUUCAGAGAAUUAGUAAAGGUAAAAAUACUUCUGUAAAAAUCAGAUAUUCUCUUUAGCAUAAUUAUCCAGUUGAGCCAAUAUUCCCUCUUUCAGAGGUGGUGUUUAAUAUUUACCAUUAUACAUUUCUCAAGUGUAGCACUGUCAUUUUCUUUAUGUCAGCAUAAAUGACAGCACUUUAUUUUCUAUAAAAUAAAGUAAUUCUGAAAUAUAAAAUUCUAAAUCUGAAUAUAAAUUCUAACAUAAUUCUAUAACAAACGUCAUCACUUUAUUUUCUAUAAAUCCAUUUCCCACGCAGCACUAUUUCUGAAAAGUUCAGGUUUUACCUUAAUUCUACUGAUCAAGUCAAUUCUCCCUGAAUUUUUUUGAAGUGAUCACAGUAUUCUGUCCAAAAUACAGUAGAAUGUUGCAAUGUCGUAUUACAAUAAAGUAUUUUGGGGACAAAGACUCCCCGUUUUGGUUGCAGUAGUCUCUGCAUUCAGUUUAUAAAAUUCUGAGGCCCUUUUUUCAAUGUAGAAGCUAUAUAUAUGUAAAUCACUUUAAUCAUUUUUGCUACAACAUGAGCAUCUCACAGUGCUCAUAAAACAUGUUUCAGAAUCAUUUGGGUGUUGUUUUCAACUUUCUUCAGCAAAAGACUUUCCUGGUAUAACUUCAGGGUCAGAGCCUAUCAAGCAAACGUGAUGCAAGUACCUGAUAAAUUUCACCAUAUCAUUUGCAAGACAUUUUUCAUCCAUAUUCAGGUCAGAAAUUGUUUUCAUUUCCCAAGCAUUUAUUCAUCUCAUAGCAUCACACAUAGAUUCAUUGUCCUCUUUCCAUGUCCUGGAAGAAACUCAUAUUUUAGCGGCAUUAAUUCUAGAAAACUUCAUUUGUAAAAGCCGUACACUCAUGUUAAGACAAAUGGCCUAGAGCUUGAAUCUCCAUUUCAAAUGCAAAUACAAAUGGUUUUUUUCUUUUGAAGAGCAGUGGUUUCCACCAGAUUCUUUAUGUUCCUUUAUCUACAAAGCUCAUUU